rnacentral:lncRNA from 1 species
UCGACCUUCUUGGUGAUAAAUUGCCAUUUAAUUGGCAAAUUUAUUUUAUUUAUUGUUGUUGUUUUUAAACCUCUGCCACUUUUGCAAAAAACAUGGGCCUCAAUGUUGAUUGGGCUGCUUUCUGGAGUCAGGGCCCAUUCUUUUGUUUUUUAUGUUUUGUGGGCUUCUUCGUAAAGAUGGACUGGCACGUGGAAUUCUUAGGCCCAAACAAUGCCCCCUCAAGUCUGAAUCGUUUUAAAAAGGGUUCCAGACUUAAUGAUUGGCCAAUCAAUGAUGCGUGCCAUUUCCUGCCGUUGCACUAGUGCACGUCUGCCUAUUGGGCUUUCUUGGGGAAGUGGGUUCUAAUGGCUAAUUAAAUCUGAGCACGACUCCUUUCUU